rnacentral:rRNA from 1 species
GAAUCCGCUAAGGAGUGUGUAACAACUCACCUGCCGAAUGAACUAGCCCUGAAAAUGGAUGACGCUUAAGCGGACAGCCGACACCGGACCGUUUUCGUAAGAAGCGGCGAAAAUGAGUAGGAGGGCGUGGCGGUUUUGUUGGGAAGGCUGAGACGCGAGUCUAGCUGAAACAGCCGCUAGUGCAGAUCUUGGUGGUAGUAGCAAAUAUUCAAGCGAGAUCCUUGAAGGGCGAAGCGAGGAAGGGUUCCACGCGAACAUUGAUUGGGCGUGGGUGAGUCGUUCCUAAGCCGGGUGGUAAUCGUUCUGACGAUCGGCGAAAGGGAAGCGGGUUAAAAUUCCUGCACACGGAUGUGGAAGCGGUGACGCAAUUUGACAUGGAGACGUUGGCGGUGGCGCUAGGCAGAGUUGUCUUUUCUGUUUGACCUGUGUGCGCGUGCUGUGGAAUCCGAUUAUCGGGAGAAACAGGCGCCGAUGGGCAGAGCGUCGGGGCAUCCCCGGCGUCUAGCACGCCACCGACAGCCCUUGAAAAUCUAUGUGCAAUGUAAUUUCACGCCGUGGCGUACCGAUAACCGCAUCAGGUCCUCAAGGUGAACAGCCUCUGCUCUAUAUGAACAAUGCAGGUAAGGGAAGUCGGCA